rnacentral:rRNA from 1 species
ACAAAAACAUGGCCUUUAGGGGAAAAUUUAAGGUCGGGCCUGCCCACUGAAAUAGUUGAAGGGCCGCGGUAUUUUGACCGUGCAAAGGUAGCAUAAUCAUUAGUCUUUUAAUUGAGGGCUGGAAUGAAUGGUUUGACGAAAUAUUGACUGUCUCUUUAUAAUAAAUAGAAUUUAACUUUUGAGUCAAAAGGCUUAAAUGAAUAUAAAAGACGAGAAGACCCUAUAGAUCUUUAUAUAGUUCUAUAAUUGUUUUAUUUAGUUGUUUUAUUUACAAUUAUUUAACUAUAUUUUGUUGGGGUGACAUGAAGAUAAAAAUAACUCUUUAUAAUAAGAACAUUGAUUUAUGGAUGACUGAUCCGUUAUUAACGAUUAUAAGAUAAAGUUACCUUAGGGAUAACAGCGUAAUUUUUUUUGAGAGUUCUUAUCGACAAAAAAGAUUGCGACCUCGAUGUUGGAUUAAGGAAUAUGAUUAGGUGUAGCAGUUUAAUUAAUAAGUCUGUUCGACUUUUAAAUCCUUACGUCAUCUGAG